rnacentral:rRNA from 1 species
GAUGAACGCUAGCGAUAGGCUUAACACAUGCAAGUCGAGGGGCAGCGAGGGUAGCAAUACCUGUCGGCGACCGGCGCACGGGUGAGUAGCGCGUAUGUAACCUGCCCGCAACAGGGGGAUAACCCGGCGAAAGUCGGACUAAUACCGCAUAAAACAGGGGUCCCGCAUGGGAAUAUUUGUUAAAGAUUUAUCGGUUGCGGAUGGGCAUGCGUACCAUUAGGUAGUUGGUGAGGUAACGGCUCACCAAGCCUUCGAUGGUUAGGGGUUCUGAGAGGAAGGUCCCCCACACUGGGACUGAGACACGGACCAGACUCCUACGGGAGGCAGCAGUGAGGAAUAUUGGUCAAUGGGCGAGAGCCUGAACCAGCCAAGUCGCGUGAAGGAUGACUGCCCUAUGGGUUGUAAACUUCUUUUACAAGGGAAUAAAAUGAGAUACGUGUAUUUUAUUGCAUGUACCUUGGGAAUAAGCAUCGGCUAACUCCGUG